GUCUAUGGCCAUGCCACCCUGAACAUACCCAAUCUCAUCUGAUCUCAGAAGUUAAGUAGGGUCGACCCUGGUUAGUACUUGGAUGGCAGACCACUUAGGAAGACUGGGUGCUGUAGGCG
rnacentral:rRNA from 1 species